UUUGAUGGCGACCGGCGCACGGGUGAGUAACACGUAUCCAACCUGCCGAUGACUCGGGGAUAGCCUUUCGAAAGAAAGAUUAAUACCCGAUGGCAUAGUUCUUCCGCAUGGUGGAACUAUUAAAGAAUUUCGGUCAUCGAUGGGGAUGCGUUCCAUUAGGUUGUUGGCGGGGUAACGGCCCACCAAGCCUUCGAUGGAUAGGGGUUCUGAGAGGAAGGUCCCCCACAUUGGAACUGGGACACGGUCCAA
rnacentral:rRNA from 1 species